CCCCAUUAACCAGAAAAUCACGUUUUCUCUUCGGAAAUCCCCCAUUUAAGCGAAAAUCACGCGUUUUCUCUCCGAGAAUCCAACAUUUAAGCGAAAAUCACGCGUUUUCUCUUCGCAAAUCCCCCAUUUAACCAGAAAACCAAGCAUUUUCUCUUCGAGAAUCCCCCAUUUAACCCGAAAAUCAUGUGUUUUCUCAAAUCCCCCAUUUAAGCGAAAAUCACGCGUUUUCUCUUCGAGAAUCCCCCAUUUAACCAAAAUCACGCGUUUUCUCUUC
ensembl:lncRNA